rnacentral:lncRNA from 1 species
CUAAGAACAGAUGGGAAAUCAGCCUUAGCCGGUCUUUGGAAUGAAUGACUAACAAUUCAACCUAAUUAGAAUGAUAUGAAAGUUUUUUACAACUUCUGUGAAAACAGAGCAGGUUUCAGCACUGCCUUGGGGAAAAUUCAAAACAGGAAUAUAUUGUCAUCAAUGAUUCUCAGCUGACUGGUUUUGCCCUAUGAACUCUACCAUGUACCUACAGUUAUCCUUUGCAGCGCAUGAAGAUCCUCACGGACUGACAUAUGUAUCAAAAAAGAAGAAAGAAUGGCUUCCAUAUUCAAAAGUAAGCACAACAUUUAUGCAUACUUCAUAGCAAUACAAUAUGGAUUCUUUUUGGAUGAGUGUCACUGAUAAUUCUGGAAACAAAGCAUAUUUCCUCAUUCAGAGUAUUUGACGUGGAAUCCGAAUGGUUUCCUGGCA